rnacentral:rRNA from 1 species
AUGCAGAUCUUUGUGAAGACUCUCACCGGGAAGACCAUCACACUUGAGGUCGAGUCCUCUGACACAAUUGACAAUGUCAAGGCAAAGAUCCAGGACAAGGAGGGCAUCCCGCCAGACCAGCAGCGUCUCAUCUUUGCUGGCAAACAGCUCGAGGAUGGCCGGACGCUUGCUGAUUACAAUAUCCAGAAGGAGUCCACACUCCAUCUGGUGCUCAGGCUCAGGGGUGGCAUGCAGAUCUUCGUGAAAACCCUCACUGGCAAGACCAUCACUCUAGAGGUCGAGUCUUCGGAUACAAUCGACAAUGUGAAGGCGAAGAUCCAGGACAAGGAGGGCAUCCCUCCAGACCAGCAGAGGUUGAUCUUUGCGGGCAAGCAGCUUGAGGAUGGUCGCACUCUGGCGGAUUACAACAUUCAGAAGGAGUCUACUCUCCAUUUGGUGCUCCGCCUACGUGGUGGCCAGUGA